CCUACGGGAGGCAGCAGUGGGGAAUAUUGGACAAUGGGCGCAAGCCUGAUCCAGCCAUACCGCGUGUGUGAAGAAGGCCUUCGGGUUGUAAAGCACUUUAAGCAGGGAGAAAAAGUUAUAAGUUAAUACCUUAUAACCGUGAUGUUACCUGCAGAAUAAGCACCGGCUAAUUCCGUGCCAGCAGCCGCGGUAAU
rnacentral:rRNA from 1 species